UACGGAGGAUGCGAGCGUUAUCCGGAUUUAUUGGGUUUAAAGGGUGCGUAGGCGGGCUUUUAAGUCAGCGGUAAAAAUUCGGGGCUCAACCCCGUCCGGCCGUUGAAACUGGGGGUCCUGAGUGGGCGAGAAGAAGGCGGAAUGCGUGGUGUAGCGGUGAAAUGCAUAGAUAUCACGCAGAACCCCGAUUGCGAAGGCAGCCUUCCGGCGCCCUACUGACGCUGAGGCACGAAAGUGCGGGGAUCGAACAGG
rnacentral:rRNA from 1 species